GGAAAGAAAUAUCUAUCAGGAUCCACGGAAAAAAGGCAGCGGUUCUCCUCCUCCUCUGAUUUUUUCCUCUCCCUAGCCGCCUCCCUCCUCCCCGAUUUGCUCCUCUCCCGAGGCUCUACUCUUCCAGGUCGCAGCACGCCGCCACGGGAGGAGCGUCGGCUCGCGAGUAGCACCAGCGCCGGCGGCUGAUGCAGGAGAGAGAGGAGCAGGUGCACCAUCUCGGCGACCUCCUCCGCGGCGGCGACCGAGGCGCGAGUGCGGGCCGCCGCGGGGGCGGCGCGACGGCAGGCUUGCCCUCGAAGCGCGCGUCGACGUGGCGCGGGAGGGCGUCGGCGGCAGAGAGGCGGAGCACGGGGCGGCCGAGCGGGGCCGCCUCGGAGGGCGUGAAGUGCAGCGGCGCGGCGGCCUUGUAGAGGAGCGCGAUGCGGUGGCGCCACGCCAUGGGGCAGCCGUGGGAGCCGUAGACGCGGACCACGUCGUCGGGGUCAGGGUCGACGGAGACAAUCCCCCUCCUCUCCUCUCUUGAGCCGCCACCGGUGCUCUCCACCGAGACGGCGUCGUGUCAUGCCAUGCCUCCACCAUCUCUCUAGGCAGUUGCCUGGCUGAAGCAGUUUGGCCGGACGGAUGACAAGCAGCAGCGCAAGACGCUGGCCAACAACACAACAGUCAGCCCUCCUCUGCCUAUUCUCUUUGCAAGGAUCUACAGAUCUAUUUUUACUGCUGUAUGGAAAGUGUUUGAUGAAAAUCCUAGAUAAAAUUAAUCUAUGCAAGGAAUCGGUCAUUGGUAACAUCUCAUAGGUCUGGUUACAGUUUUGACUAUGCAUACUAUUAAAUAGUAUGUAUUUGUGGAGUGCAGUCUGUAAAAGGACAAAGUGAGACAUACCGAAACGCAACUUAGAUUCAACCUCCAUCUUUUCUAGAUUUUUAGACUGAACAUUAUCACUAUUAAACUAGAGUAGUUUUCAGAUGCUACAUAUAUAUGGCAGGUCCUGAUGUCAUAUGCUGCAAAGAAUUUAAUUUAUGGAGUGAGUUCUAUGGAUAUUUUUGGCUGAUUGGUCUUCUCCAUUUUUUUAAAGGUGGAUUUGGAUCUUGGAAACUAAACGAUGAAACAAUUUAGCCAAUGCUGCAAUACUCGGAUUUCUAAAUGUCAUGUAGAGGAUGAGUGCCAGUGCUACAAUUAUCCUUGCUGGUUGCUUUGGCAUCCUAUUCAGAUCGACAACAUCCAUUGCUUUGUUGUUGUUUGAUAUUGAACAUUUUGUGUUCUCACGCAGGUGUUGCUGUGCUUGUGGCCGGGUUGCUCUGGUGGUGAUUCCUGAUGUUCGAUACAAAAAAGAAAUCAAGUUUUGCUCUUAGUCCACCGCCAUCCCUUCCCUGACUCUUUUUCCUCAUGACAAAAUUGAUUCAGUUUCUUGCAUAUCUAAAAAUUGUACCUGAAUAUUUCCAGGUUGUGUUUCAGGCAUUGAUUCGUUGCGGAAGAUUUACUUUUACACAUGCUGAUAAUGGUGGCGCUACGAUGAGGAUCCGAGGUUCCACUCUCUCAGUAUGACGUCGAUUUGCCGUUCUCCCAGGUUUCUCUCUCUGAUCAGUGAUUGUCAUUAAUUCAAAUAAGAUCAUCUGUGUGGGGUAUCCUGGAUCAGAGUAGCAGACAUGGAGAUGCCUGCCUGUUCUAUACGUUUGUUUUCAUGCCUUUCUUUGUUUUUUUAGUUUACCUCUAUGUUUUCCUGCUCGCUGAGUCAAGUGGCUCUUUUUUGGUUCGUUAUUCCUGCUUGUUCUUUGCUACACUUGAAUAUUUCAUAUACCUUUCCACUAAUCUCUUGCACUAACCUUCUUUAUUAACUUCAGGCAAGAAAAUGGAUGCAUUUCUUGAACUGGUGAUAAUUACACUUGAAGAAGCAAGGCAUGACAAAGAGUAAUGAAUAUUUCUUCCAAGCAUAACUAUUACCAUGCAUAUGGAUGACCUGCUACAAAUAUUCUCUGUUUGGUGUCAAGACUAAUUCUUUACUAUUUAAUGGCCAUGGCGUUCACAUGGGUACUGUGAUGCUACAUAGAUUACCUCUUAUGUGUUUCUAUCGAACAUUAGACCAACCUUGAUGAAACAUAGUUAUCAUGUUUGAUGGGAAACAUAUAUAAGAAACUAAAAUAGUUUGCUCUCUUAAUCAAUUUCUUGCUUGGGGUUGAAGAGCCUGCAGAUGGCAUAAAACACUAAGAAUUUCGUUGGGAUGGACAUAUUUUGAACCCGCACAUCGUGCAACACUGCAUGGAUCAACUCUUGGAUUAUGCUAUGUAUUACCUCGAGCAUUUUCAGAGGUGACAAAUCUUGCAUGCAACCUUCCUUUUUCUUCUGGUAUGAUCAAAACUAUAUAAAAACCAUGAGUAAUUGACUGAAAUUGUGUGUGUUUCUGAUCAUGCUAGAUAUUUCUUAUGAGAGCUUCAGUAAAAUCCUUCACUUAUUGUAAAUUUGGCAAGAUGCAUUGUUUAUUUACUGAGAAGUUGUCUCUUAUAGAUGAUUAUUCGUAGCUUGCUGGAAUAGACUUCUUCAGGUGACACCAAUGUCAAUUGAUUUAAAUUUUGCUCAUAUUUAUUCUGACACUUCAUCAGUUGUUUGUUCUAAUUCCAUGUCAGAUAUAGCUGAGAAGCUACAUCAGAUGAGUUCUUUACUUCACUAAAGAUAUUGGUUUCUCCCCCUCACUUAAUUUAUCUACCGGAAGCUCUUAUCCACUUCGCUGACGAUACAAGCCACUUGAGGUUUGCAUGGACAGAUGCAUGCUACAAUAUCUUCACUCUAGGUGUGAUUGGAAUACAUGAUCUUUCAGUUUGGUUUCUCUGAAGAACUACAACCUGCCCUUCCUGUUUUAAUUGUCAUGGUGUGUUCUCGGUACAAGCGAUAUAGUUAAAUUUAAGAAAAAUACUAGCUUGCAGCUAAGCUCAUUAUAUUUUUGGUCUAUACAUGUGAUAUAAUUAAAUUUAGUGAAAAAUAUUAGCUUAUGUUGAGGUAUUUCAGUUUUGAUCAUUAUACAGUUCACUGCCUUCUGAGCCCAUUGUAGGAUAAAUAGCAAGGUCCUUUGUUUUCUUACGAAGUUUCUUCAUAACUAAUUUUACUCUGAGGCAUUUUCUUGCUGAGUUAAGGUUUUUUUAAAAACGAAGACCAUCUAUAUGAAUUAAAGCUGGACAUGCUCUUGCUGAGUUACUUCUUGGGCCAGUUUGAUUUUUUCAUUACAUUUUGUCAGAUUCCUUUUAUCGCAUCUUUCGUUUGUAUUUGUCCAAACUAUCAGAGAACUUGGAGUUGAGACUAAGAAUCUAUUUUUAUCCUCUUUUGUCAUAUAUAUCUUGCAGAAUGUUCAGCAGGUUAUGUGCUAUUUUUUCCUCUGGUAAACAGAACUUCCUCUACGUAGGAAGUAUAUAAUGAGUUUGAUUGUGUGUUGAUAUUGAGUGCUCGCAAGAAAUUGAAAUAGGCUACAGAUUACUUUGGUAAUCUAUGUUCAGUAGCAUUUUCCAAAUAUAUGUUUCAGUUAUCCUGCAAAAAAGACUUCAGUUGAGUUGAAUCCAGUUACAGGACUGAACAAUUAGGGAUUUGUACAUACAUAUUUCGUUGUGAUCUGUGGCACAAUUUUUGUUCAUGUGCCUUACUAGCUAUAGUCUGUAGUAUGACACUUAUCAUUGGUAUUGGUUCUACGCUACAGCUUAUUUUAUGACUUUUGCAUAGUUGUCAACAUGUUUAUACUAAAUCUUUUAGCUAGCUCCUAAUAUUUCACUAUUCUAUUCUUUUGUAGUACACUUGUGCAGUACAUGGUAAGAAGCUUUUGGAAUAGGGUGUUCACUAGGGAGUUGGCAAUGGCAAGUCUGCAAAUAUGUCCUGACAAGUUGGUUGUGGAUGAACUUCUUGGGCCGGUGUCUCCAAUUCUUUCAACUCCUUAGGCAGACGGUAGACGUUCUUAUUAUUCCAGAAUCGGGCAAAUGGGAUUCAGACACAUUCUUGGCUCCUGGCAUGGCUCAUGCAGAUACCUCUUUGUUAAGCUGACUGAUGAUUUUACUACAUGGCAACGUACUAAACGUGGCGUUUAUUCAGUCAAGUCAGCCUAAAGCUGACACGAGCUAAUUGCCUAAAUUUUGGUAUCUGAACUUCCUAUAAACAGUGUGAAAAUAGAGAUGACCAUGCUUUGUAAUCUCAAGUAUCAUGUCUACUAUGACAUAGUUGGCAGACUUUAUCUUCAGAUCAUUUGCUAUGCUAUCUACUGUACUUUGAGAGAGAAUGGUUUCACAAGAUUUUAGUCUGUAGUAUAUUCAACCUGUAAGACAAGCUCCCUAACCUUUUUGAUGAACAAGGAGGCAUCAUGCACUAACUGACACUUUUUUGUAGGUCUGCACAUUUUCCAGAAACAGCUGUUGUAGGCCAAGAACUGCCUGGAGUUGUCCACCUGUUGCGGUGGCUCCUGUUUGGCUUACUCAAUUUUGAUGGAAGGAAGGCUAUGUAACUCCAGUACUGGCUGACACCACAUGAAGGGUGGUAGGUGAGCAAGGAUGUUGUAAACUGCGCGCACUUUCCAGGCGAGAACAGUAGUGUCCCAGAUGUAGCAGUUCGUUUUGUAGCAACUUUGUUUCUCUAUUUUGCAUUAGUUGCCCGGUGAAGUGAACAAGGUGUGCGUGCUUCUGGCUGAGUACAUACCUUAUAGAGUACUAUGUAUCUAAAGUUUGUUGUUACCCGUGAACAUUUCUGUUAAUCAAAUCCACAAUGUGUCAUUGAUUCAAAAGACUGAGUUCAGUUAAAAAUCAGCCUUGGGACAUGCUAAGACAAGAUUAUCUAGAGAGUACUUUUGAUAUUCCUUGCUUUUGUUAGUCCUGAAAAAACAGUGUUAGAUAUUGCAAUAAUAUUUUACAUUUUCCUGAUUA